rnacentral:rRNA from 1 species
GACGAACGCUGGCGGCGUGCCUAAUACAUGCAAGUCGAACGCAUUUUCUUUCACCGUAGCUUGCUACACCGAAAGAAAAUGAGUGGCGAACGGGUGAGUAACACGUGGGUAACCUGCCCAUCAGCGGGGGAUAACACUUGGAAACAGGUGCUAAUACCGCAUAAUUCCAUUUACUGCAUGGUAGAUGGAUGAAAGGCGCUUUUGCGUCACUGAUGGAUGGACCCGCGGUGCAUUAGCUAGUUGGUGGGGUAACGGCCUACCAAGGCUGCGAUGCAUAGCCGACCUGAGAGGGUGAUCGGCCACACUGGGACUGAGACACGGCCCAGACUCCUACGGGAGGCAGCAGUAGGGAAUCUUCGGCAAUGGACGCAAGUCUGGCCGAGCAACGCCGCGUGAGUGAAGAAGGUUUUCGGAUCGUAAAACUCUGUUGUUAGAAAAGAACAAGGAUGAGAGUGGAAAGUUCAUCCCUUGACGGUAUCUAACCAGAAAGCCACGGCUAACUACGUG